CCUAUGGGGUGCAGCAGGCGCGAAAACUUUACCAUGCGGGCAACCGUGAUAAGGAAACCCCGAGUGCCAGCACAGGCUGGCUGUCCGCCAGUUUAAACAACUGGCGAAGAAAGGGCCGGGCAAGACCGGUGCCAGCCGCCGCGGUAAUACCGGCGGCUCGAGUGGUGGCCGCUAUUACUGGGCUUAAAGGGUCCGUAGCUUGAUAAUAGGGUCCCUUGAGAAAUCCGCCGGCUUAACUGGCGGGCGUUCAGGGGAAACUUGUUUUCUAGGGACCGGGAGAGGUGAGGGGUACUGCCGGGGUAGGAGUGAAAUCCUGUAAUCCCGGUGGGACCACCUAUGGCGAAGGCAUCUCACCAGAACGGGUCCGACAGUGAGGGACGAAAGCUGGGGGAGCAAACCGGAUUAGAUACCCAGGUAGUCC
rnacentral:rRNA from 1 species